rnacentral:rRNA from 1 species
GAUGAACGCUGGCGGCGUGCCUAAUACAUGCAAGUCGAGCGAACAGACGAGGAGCUUGCUCCUCUGACGUUAGCGGCGGACGGGUGAGUAACACGUGGAUAACCUACCUAUAAGACUGGGAUAACUUCGGGAAACCGGAGCUAAUACCGGAUAAUAUAUUGAACCGCAUGGUUCAACAGUGAAAGACGGUUUUGCUGUCACUUAUAGAUGGAUCCGCGCCGGAUUAGCUAGUUGGUAAGGUAACGGCUUACCAAGGCAACGAUGCGUAGCCGACCUGAGAGGGUGAUCGGCCACACUGGAACUGAGACACGGUCCAGACUCCUACGGGAGGCAGCAGUAGGGAAUCUUCCGCAAUGGGCGAAAGCCUGACGGAGCAACGCCGCGUGAGUGAUGAAGGUCUUCGGAUCGUAAAACUCUGUUAUUAGGGAAGAACAAAUGUGUAAGUAACUAUGCACGUCUUGACGGUACCUAAUCAGAAAGCCACGGCUAACUACGUG